ACAUCACCGAUGUCCUCCCCGACGCCGUUUCUUACCCUUCCACUUUCUGCCUUAAAAUGAGGUAGUUGAUUCUUCUAAAAUUCCAAUUAUAAUAAAAUAAAUGUUCUGUCCUUUUUGCUACUUUUUUAUAGAGAAACCUGCACUUGCGGUGGAAUUCAUAUGAUAUGAUUUGUGAGAUUUCGUGGUAAAACUUUGUGAAUUGAGCUUUUCUGAUAAUAAAUUUUUGAAUCAAUUUUUAUUUUGUAUGUUAAUCAGCUAAGCCGGGAUUAUUUUUAAUUGAUGUCUUACAUUAAAUCAUCUCCUUUGAUUCUAUGUAUGUAAUGCUCCUGACCGUUUGUUCUACUUUUAUGUACUUCAAAAAUCAAAUUAAGCGUGUAAGCCUUUUGCAAGACAAUAACCAGAUAUUGAAUCAAAAGCUAACUGGGAUUUUUUUACUUGAAACUUGCUCUUUUUUUAUUUGAUUGAAAAUAAUUUGAGAUUCUGUUACAG
rnacentral:lncRNA from 1 species